UCUCUCAAGUGUUCUCCACUUGGUGAGGGCUACAAGUGCCCCAUUGUAUCCUCCUGUGUGUGCUUAUUCAAAACUCACAGUGAUGAAGAGCUAUUUUAUUUUGGGAUUAGCUUGGGAUAAAUGUUUGACCUGUGUCCUUCUAUCACCUAAAUCACUACAGCAGUAAAAGAAAUCUUAAUUUGGCAAAGAACAAGUGCAUAAUUUGUGCUGUUGAAAUCAGUGGGAGGUGGAGCUCUGAGUCAGUUUAUACAGCUCUGCUUUCCUCCUGCUCCGCUGGUUGGAGAAUAGUGUGUUCCAGGAGCCAGCUGUCAGCUGGACCACCACACCUCUGCCUUUUAUGAAGUAGAGGUAUAAUGGGAUCCUCAGCCUACUCACCUCUGGAUCAGUUCAUCCAAGCAAACCCACACAGGAAAGUUGGGAUCAGGAAGGGGAAUCGUGGAAGACCAUGCAGCACUGAAGAUGAGCCAGAAAUACCUCAGUUGCGUUGGCUUACUGUAAAAAUUAUAGGUAUGAGAAAUCUCCGCAAAGCAGACCUGUUGAGCCAAACUGACUGCUACGUGAGGCUGUGGUUGCCAACAGCUUCACACCAGGAAGCCCGGACGAGAACUGUAUCCAACUGCAGGAACCCUGUCUGGAAUGAAACUUUUCACUUCAUGAUACAAAGUGAAGUGAAGAACGUGCUGGAGCUGACAGUCUGUGAUGAAGACACCAUCACACCUGAUGAUCAGCUUUUGACUGUACGCUUUGAUGUAGCUAAAAUCCAACCUGGAGAGAAGGUUCGCCUGAGUUUUGAGUUGAAUCCAGAGAAUCGGGAAGAACUAGAAGUGGAAUUUCUACUGGAUAACAUUCCAGGUGUAUCUGAAAAAAUAGUCACUAAUGGUGUGCUAGUGUCUCGAGAAGUUUCCUGUGUGGAAGUGCAAGUGGAUGACACAAGGAUGAAGACUCCUUACACAAGGAGAGAUUUCACCUUCGCAAUGAAGGGAUCCUAUGAAGAAACUCGGAAGAUUUCCAUGGGUCCUUCCUGUAGCCAAAGAGACAGUGAUUCUACCAUGUUCAACUAUAUCAAGUACAGCCAACCCAACCUGGACAUGGUGUUGCCAAAGGAACGUUUAUACUGUGGUCAUGAUGCAAACAGGAGGGAAAAGGAUAUAAAUAGUCCUCUAUCAGUGCCUCUGAAUUCUCUGGACCUGGGAAAGAAAAUGACAGUAGUGAGAGGUGCAUCUUAUGAAGUGUCUGUGAAGAAAGAAGAUGGUAGCAAGAAUUUAGAUUUGCGCUUGGGGUUUGAUCUAUGUGCAGAGGAAAAAGAUUUCAUCUGUAAAAGGAAGAAGGUUGUUGCUGCUGCUCUAAAAAAUGUUCUUCAACUUGAUGAAGACCUGCAGGAGGAUGAGCAGGUGCCGGUGGUGGCAGUCGUGACCACAGCAGGGGGAGUGCGGUCCAUGACGUCAAUGUUUGGCAGUCUUCUAGCUCUACAAGAGUUAGGUGUUCUGGACUGCAUCUCAUACAUCAGUGGUCUAUCUGCCACAACAUGGACCAUGGCAAAAUUAUAUGAAGAUGCAAAUUGGUCACAGAAGGAUCUCAGAGGGCCAAUUGAUGAUAUUUGGAAAUAUGUGAUCAAGAGCAAAUUGCACUGUUUCUCUACAGAUCAUCUGAAAUACUAUGAGAAGGAGUUGUGUGAAAGAAAGCUAGAGGGGCACAAGCUCUCUUUCACAGAUUUAUGGGGACUCUUCAUUGACUCUAUGCUACAUAAUGAGGAAAAUACUCAUAAACUCUCUGAUCAGCAACUGGCAGUGAAUCAGGGGCAGAAUCCACUGCCCAUUUACUUGUCUCUCAAUGUCAGGGAUAAAUUUAGCACUCUGGAUUUUAAAGAGUGGGUGGAGUUCACGCCUUAUGAGGUAGGUGCCCUGAAAUAUGGGGCCUUUGUUCGUUCAGAGGAUUUUGGUAGUGAAUUUUUCAUGGGCCACCUGAUGAAGAAGAUCCCAGAAUCCCGGAUCUGCUUCUUGGAAGGCACAUGGAGUAAUAUAUUUUCCCAGAGUUUUAUGGAUGUUGUCUACCUCUCGGGUCAUUCAGAGGACUUCUGGCACAGAUGGACUCGAGGCACUGAGCAUGACAUUGAGGAGCACCCUGCUCUGCCUACAAGACCUCAUGAGCAAACAACUUGCUUAUCCCUUCCCAAGGGUUACCUUUCCAAUGCUCUUCGAGAAAUGAUGACAGGACGUCCAGUGGUUUCAUACUAUCAUAAUUUCAUCAAGGGCUUGCAGCUGCAUAACAAGUAUUUAGAGAAUGAAAGCUUCUGCAUGUGGAAAGAUACAGUGCUUGAUUCUUCUCCCAACCAACUGAAUGCAAUGGGUGACUACCUCAAGCUGGUAGAUACAGCUUUCUUCAUCAAUACCAGCUGCCCACCAUUUUUGAGGCCAGAGAGGAAAGUGGAUGUCAUUUUGCAUUUAAAUUACAGCGGAGGAUCACAGACUCUGCCACUGGACCUAUUCUCAGAGUACUGCUUAGAGCAAGGGAUCCCAUUUCCCUGCACAGAGCUGAGCUGUGAGGAUCGGGAGCACCUGAAGGAGUGCUAUGUGUUUGAGGACAACUUAGAGGCACCAAUCUUGGUCUAUUUCCCACUUGUGUGUGAUACCUUUCAAAGAUACAAGGCACCAAAGUGCAGUACAUCUCAGCCGCCUUAGCAAGAAUUCCCCUUCCAAGGACAUUCUGCUGUCCUUUUCCAUCAGAUAGUGGAUAAAGAGUUGUCAUCUCUGUGUACCAAGUGGAAAAGCUAAAAAGACAAAAUUCUGAAUUUACAAAAGUGAAAUAUUCUCAUGGAAAACUGUAAUCUUAAGAGGAAGGUAUUUUGCAUGACAGAGUGGUUCUUCCAAUUAGUUGUGGAUCAGCUGCAAUUGAGGCCUAUCAGCGAAGUACUGGAUUUUAUUACUGCAGCAGAGAUGUGGAGCGCAGUCCUGCAGAGAUGGAGCAGGGAAGAGUAGAUGUGUCCAAUUGUUUUGCUCCCUAUGGCACUGGUCAACUUACAUAUACUGAAGGGAAUUUCAACAAGCUGU